rnacentral:rRNA from 1 species
UUUGAUCAUGGCUCAGAGUGAACGCUGGCGGCAGGCCUAAUACAUGCAAGUCGAAACGGCAGCACAGCAGAGCUUGCUCUGUGGGUGGCGAGUGGCGGACGGGUGAGGAAUACGUGGGAAGUCUGCCCAGUCGUGGGGAUAACGUAGGGAAACUUACGCUAAUACCGCAUGCGCCCUUCGGGGGAAAGCCGGGGACCUUCGGGCCUGGCGCGAUUGGAUGAGCCCACGUCGGAUUAGCUAGUUGGCGGGUAAAGGCCCACCAAGGCGACGAUCCGUAGCUGGUCUGAGAGGAUGAUCAGCCACACUGGAACUGAGACACGGUCCAGACUCCUACGGGAGGCAGCAGUAGGGAAUAUUGGACAAUGGGCGCAAGCCUGAUCCAGCCAUGCCGCGUGAGUGAAGAAGGCCCUCGGGUUGUAAAGCUCUUUUGUCCGGAAAGAAAAGCGCCGGGUUAAUACCCUGGUGUCCUGACGGUACCGGAAGAAUAAGCACCGGCUAACUUCGUG